rnacentral:misc_RNA from 1 species
UCCGAGUUGACCCCGGCAGUCUCCCAUGAGUCCCCACCAUUACGUGCUGGCAACAUGGAACGAGGGUUGCGCUCGUUGCGCCACUUAAGGCAACACCUCACGGCACGAGCUGACGACAGCCAUGCAGCACCUGUGCGGGCUCCCGAAGGAGCGCCGUGUUUCCACGGUUUCACCCCGCAUGUCAAGCCCUGGUAAGGUUCUUCGCGUUGCGUCGAAUUGAGCCACAUGCUCCACCGCUUGUGCGGGCCCCCGUCAAUUCCUUUGAGUUUCAGCCUUGCGGCCGUACUCCCCAGGCGGGAUGCUUAAAGCGUUAGCUGCGCUACUGACCGGCAAGCCGGCCAACAGCUAGCAUCCAUCGUUUACGGCGUGGACUAC